rnacentral:rRNA from 1 species
CCUACGGGACGCAGCAGUGGGGGAUAUUGCACAAUGGGGGAAACCCUGAUGCAGCGACGCCGCGUGGGUGAAGAAGCGCCUCGGCGCGUAAAGCCCUGUCAGCAGGGAAGAAAAUGACGGUACCUGAAGAAGAAGCCCCGGCUAACUACGUGCCAGCAGCCGCGGUAAUACGUAGGGGGCAAGCGUUAUCCGGAUUUACUGGGUGUAAAGGGGGCGCAGACGGCGAUGCAAGCCAGGAGUGAAAGCCCGGGGCCCAACCCCGGGACUGCUCUUGGCACUGCGUGGCUAGAGUGUAGGACGGGCAG